UAUGUACUCCCUCCGUUCGGAAUUACAUGUCUCGGAAAUGGAUGUAUCUAGAUACAUCCAUUUCCGAGACAUGUAAUUCCGAACGGAGGGAGUACGUA
rfam:Triticum aestivum genome assembly, contig: Triticum_aestivum_CS42_TGACv1_scaffold_624095_7DS